UCAGAACAUAACAUAUUGUUUUCUGGCUCACAAGGGCAUUUUCGUCAUUUUUGUCGAAAAUCUCGAAACUUGCUAAAAAUAUAGUAGGUAAGCAGAAAAUAUAUAUUUAAUGAUUUAAAAACAAAUUAAAUAUCUAAAACGUUCAUUUGAAGUGAAAAUUUGACCAUUUGAGUAUAAUAAAAAUAUUCAAUAAAAUAAACUAUUUUCUUAUAAAAUAAUUUUCAUAAAACUAUCAGUACAUAAUUCUUAUAGCGUAAAAGUUAAUUAUAUUUAUAUAUACUAUAAAGCAAAUAACCAAAGUAUAAAAUUUCUUUUACAGUGACACGUGGGCCCAUAUCUAACCAAAAUGCAUCGGAAGCUGGAAACCUACAACUUUUACCGAUUCGAGUCCAAAUGAAGGUUCUUGUCAAAGUCAGCUAACUAUGGAAUUCUCCGAGCCUGAAAUGUGAGGAAAUGAGGGUGGUGAGAUUAGAAAAUCCCAGUGAGUAAACAAAUACCAUCUAAACUAUCUAAAGUCGAGUAAAUGGAGACAAUUAAAAUAAAUCAUCAUACUGUAAUUUCAUUACCUUUCAACUCAUUUCAACCAAAUAAAAUCAAUCCAUAAAAAUCGAGUAAUCAACUUGGCUUAUGAAUUUCUUAAAACUUUGGCUCGUGCCAAAACUCAUACUCGGUGAUACCUUGUGCAGGGCAUCUAACCGAGUCCGCCAAGGCUGUUAAAAUUUUGUGUACACUUAAAAUAUAUUUUUGUUUGAAAAAAAUACAGCCGUUCCUUGGCGUUGGCUGAGUUCCCCUCCACGUGGUGGUUUGGCGUGAAGUGAACCCUAAGCUUUACCCCAGGAGAUACCCUACGCGCUUCUCCAUUCGAGGUAAUAAUAUAAUGGAGUUUACCGUGCCCCUCUAAUAGGCUGGUCCACGGAACCCCCUCUGCAGUAAAUAAUUAAUAUAUAAUCCACCAAUCAAUAAAAUUCAUUCUAGCAUGACAUGGCAAUUUAUUGCAACCUAGCCUCUCAAGGCUGAAUACACAUUAUAAAUAAUUCUAACACCAAAAUCAGUUUAGCCAUUCAUGCUCAUUUAUUAUCAUAAGCCAUUCAAUUCAAAACCAUAAAUUUGCAACACAAACUAGCAGUCUCCAAUUACUCUAUUUUCAAAACCAAUAUUCGAUUUUCCAGAAAAUUUAUAAAAUCAUUUUAUAAAAUCACAAUUUCUCUUAAAACAUAGCAAUUUACCAUUUAAACCCAUUUUUCAUAAAAUCACACAGUUGUAUAAAACUACUCUAGAUAAUUAAGACGAUAAUAAGUUCACUCACAGUUCUAGGAGUCGAUGUACUCCUAAUCCCAGUCUCCAAGCACAAUUUCUGUACUUUUACCAGUGUACUUUGCUCACCACCUAUCCACAAUGUACAAUACAUAAUUCACCACAUCAAUGCUUGACCAUUAUAAAAUCAAUUCAGGCUCGGUAUAUAUGCAUGAUAUGAUAUACAACUUAUCCGACUACCGCUUAAAUGCGGUGUUGACCUAAUUCGGCCUAUUAUCUCCAAUUUAACUCCAAAUCAAUUCUUCUCACUUUCUACACUCCAAUUAUAACUAAAUUACCUCCAUGACUGUGAAUGAGAUUCAAUUUAUCAGUCUCGAUAGCAAAUUACGAAAAUACCCCUAGUGGGUAAAAAUCGUAUUUUUGCUCCGAAAAUUUCCAUUAUUUUUCUAGGCUCAUAAUUCAUCAUUUCUUAACCAAUUCUCCUAAAAUGAAAAUCAAAUUUAUCCUCACUCAACACAUGAUAAAUUCGGCCAUUAAUGAUUGUGGGAGAAAAUAAAUUCUUUUCUUGUUGUUUUGUUUCUAAAUAUGCUAAACUAACUUAAAACACUAACAUAACUUAAAAUCAAAUUAAUCUAACAAGUUUCUCUCUCCUAACCCAUUUUUUCAGAAUUGAAUUCAUCAUGAAAACAUGUAAUUUAAUCAUGGAAAAUAAAGAGAAAUGCUUGGGAAUAAGAAAACUCAAGCUUAAUAGAAAAAAUCUCACCUUUUUCACUUAAUUUCCUUGAAAAUUCACACUUUUUCUUUGAUUUUCUCCCUCUAGGGUUUUGUUUUUGUUUUCUCUCUCUUCUUGCUGGUUUGG
rnacentral:lncRNA from 1 species